GUAGUCCAUGCCGUAAACGAUGUAUACUAGCCGUUGGGGCCUUUGAGGCUUUAGUGGCGCAGCUAACGUGAUAAGUAGACCGCUUGGGGAGUACGGUCGCAAGACUAAAACUCAAAUGAAUUGACGGGGUCCCGCACAAGCGGUGGAGCAUGUGGUUUAAUUUGAUGCAACGCGAAGAACCUUACGUGGUCUUGACAUAGUAAGAACUUUCCAGAGAUGGAUUGGUGCCUUCGGGAACUUACAUACAGGUGCUGCAUGGCUGUCGUCAGCUCGUGUCGUGAGAUGUUGGGUUAAGUCCCGCAACGAGCGCAACCCUUUUCCUUAUUUGCCAGCGGGUUAAGCCGGGAACUUUAAGGAUACUGCCAGUGACAAACUGGAGGAAGGCGGGGACGACGUCAAGUCAUCAUGGCCCUUACGACCAGGGCUACACACGUGCUACAAUGGUCGGUACAAAGGGUUGCUACCUAGCGAUAGGAUGCUAAUCUCAAAAAGCCGAUCGUAG
rnacentral:rRNA from 1 species